rnacentral:rRNA from 1 species
CUGGUAGUCCAUACCGUAAACGAUGAAUGCUAAGUGUUGAAGGGUUUCCCCCUUCAGUGCUGCAGCUAACGCAUUAAGCAUUCCGCCUGGGGAGUACGGCCGCAAGGCUGAAACUCAAAGGAAUUGACGGGGGCCCGCACAGCGGUGGAGCAUGUGGUUUAAUUCGAAGCUACGCGAAGAACCUUACCAGGUCUUGACAUACUAUGCAGAUCUAAGAGAUUAGACGUUCCCUUCGGGGACAUGGAUACAGGUGGUGCAUGGUUGUCGUCAGCUCGUGUCGUGAGAUGUUGGGUUAAGUCCCGCAACGAGCGCAACCCUUAUUAUCAGUUGCCAGCAUUAAGUUGGGCACUCUGGUGAGACUGCCGGUGACAAACCGGAGGAAGGUGGGGAUGACGUCAAAUCAUCAUGCCCCUUAUGACCUGGGCUACACACGUGCUACAAUGGAUGGUACAACGAGUUGCGAACUCGCGAGAGUAAGCUAAUCUCUUAAAGCCAUUCUCAGUUCGGAUUGUAGGCUGCAACUCGCCUACAUGAAGUCGGAAUCGCUAGUAAUCGCGGAUCAGCAUGCCGCGGUGAAUACGUUCCCGGGCCUUGUACACACCGCCCGUCACACCAUGAGAGUUUGUAACACCCAAAGUCGGUGGGGUAACCUUUAGGAACCAGCCGCCUAAGGUGGGACAGAUGAUUAGGGUGAAGUCGUAACAAGGUAACCA